rfam:Brachypodium distachyon strain Bd21 chromosome 3, whole genome shotgun sequence.
UUAGUACUCCCUCUGAUCCGUAUUAAUUGUCGAAAUAUUACAUGUAUCUAAACGCUUUUUAGGCAUAGAUGCAUCCAUAUUUGAGCAAAUUUGAGACAAUUAAUAUGGAUCGGAGGGAGUAUAUU